AAAAACUUGGCUGACUGAGUGCGGCGGUGCGUUUGGGUGUUAGCGGGUAAAGUGCGGGGGGCGAAACGGCGGAGCCCGUCCCGGUCCUUGACCCAAUGACACAGCCUGGAUCCACUGGUCUCGGCCUGGUGAUGUAGUCUGGUUCAGACCCCCUCUCUCCCUCCCGAUCCCCCCCCCCCAAUCCUCGUCGCCUGUCCCCGGCCUCGGCUUGUUGCUAUGGCACGGAUCCCGGCCUUUUGGCGUCCAGCAGAUGCUGGAUCACGUAGGAAAGUGCUGUGGAGCAUCAGGCCCAAUGCUGGAAGCUGGAUGUCACCUGCAACAUCAGUAACUCUGAAGUGAGGAAGCAACUCCCUCUGAGUUACGUUCUUAUUCAGGCAAUUGAUCUCACCACUGAGACUAGAGGCAAGUGUCGUCUGUCUGGAACAACGCCCUGUCGGAGAGGCUGAUCAUAGCAAUUAAAUAAACUGAAGGAGCUGUCGGGCCUCCGUGCACUGAAGUUUCAAUAUGUUGCAAACAAUCAUAUAAUUAACAAGGAAUCCACCAUUUUAUAUUAACAUGUGGAUUGAGUGCUAGUAUUCUGGAAGAAAUCUACCAAGUACAAGAUGGGGGGAGUGCCAUUGACCACAGCGAGGCAGUUUGGCAGAAGCCAUUUCACUGGUAAAGUACAACUUGAUCCAACUUCUGUAAUAUGAGCUCAGUUAAAAAUGCUGCUGUGGUAUCAGUUCGUGCUGAGCAAUAAAUACAACUUCCUGUCAGAUCGCCAGCAGGUAACAAGAGUGGGCUGCCUCACCUCUGACCCUCAGACCCUCAACACAGGUGGUGUCCUAAGCCCCCUCCUUUGCUCUCUGUACCCAUGACUGUGUUGCCACCCACAGCUCCGAUCUGCUGAUGACACUACACUGGUUGGCCUAAUCUCAAAUAGUAAUGCAGCGGCCUUCAGAGAAGUCUUCACCCUGACACAGCGGUGUCAAGAAAACAACCCCUCCCUCAAUGUGGCAAAAACAAAGGAGCUGGUUGUGAACUACAGGAGGAAUGGAGACAGGCUCACCCCUACUGACAUCAAUGGAUCUGGGGUUGAGAGAGUGAACAGCUUUAAGCUCCUCGGCAUAAACGUCACCGAGGAUCUCACGUGGUCUGUACAUACCGGCUGUGUGGUGAGAAAAACACAACAGCGCCUCUUUCACCUCUCAGACGGUUGAAGAAGUUUGGUGUGGGCCCCCAAAUCCUAAGAACUUUCUAUAGGGGCACAACUGAGAGCAUCCUGACUGGCUGCAUCACUGCCUGGUAUGGGAACUGGUCUCUGCAGAGAGUGGUGUGGACAGCCCAGCGCACCUGUAGAUGUGAACUUCCCACUAUUUAGGGCAUUUAUAAAGAUAGGUGUGUAAAAAGGGCCCAAAGGAUCAUUGGGGACCCAAGUCACCCCAACCACGAACUGUUCCAUCUGCUACCAUCCAGGAAACGGUACCACAGCUUAAAAGCCAGGACCAACAGGCUCCAGGACAGCUUCUUCCACCAGGCCAUCAGAUUGAUUCAUUCAUGCUGACGCAACUGUAUUUCUAUCUUAUAUUGACUAUCCUGUUGUACCAAAUAGUUAUUUAGAUGGAGACAUAACAUAAAGGUUUUUACUCAUGUAUAUGAAGGAUGUAAGUAAUAAAGUC